GACGAACCGUGCGAACGUUAUUCGGAAUCACUGGGCUUAAAGCGCGUGUAGGCGGGCCGGCACGUCCGAGGCUGAAAGCCCCCGGCUCAACCGGGGAAUGGGCCCGGAUACGACCGGCCUGGAGGGGGAUAGGGGGAGCGGGAACUUCCGGUGGAGCGGUGAAAUGCGUUGAGAUCGGAAGGAACGCCCGUGGCGAAAGCGCGCUCCUGGACCCCGCCUGACGCUGAGACGCGAAAGCCAGGGGAGCGAACGGG
rnacentral:rRNA from 1 species